rnacentral:tRNA from 1 species
CCAUAGUUCAAUGGCAGAACACUUGCUUCCCAAGCAAGCUAUACGGGUUCGAUUCCCGCUGGGU